UACGAAGGGGGGCUAGCGUUGCUCGGAAUCACUGGGCGUAAAGGGUGCGUAGGCGGGUCUUUAAGUCAGGGGUGAAAUCCUGGAGCUCAACUCCAGAACUGCCUUUGAUACUGAAGAUCUUGAGUUCGGGAGAGGUGAGUGGAACUGCGAGUGUAGAGGUGAAAUUCGUAGAUAUUCGCAAGAACACCAGUGGCGAAGGCGGCUCACUGGCCCGAUACUGACGCUGAGGCACGAAAAGCGUGGGGGAGCAAACAGG
rnacentral:rRNA from 1 species